AGUCGCGAACGGGUGAGUAACGCGUAGGUAACCUGCCUGAUAGCGGGGGAUAACUAUUGGAAACGAUAGCUAAUACCGCAUAAGAGUCGUUAACACAUGUUAAUGAUUUAAAAGGAGCAAAUGCUUCACUAUCAGAUGGACCUGCGUUGUAUUAGCUAGUUGGUGAGGUAACGGCUCACCAAGGCYUCGAUACAUAGCCGACCUGAGAGGGUGAUCGGCCACACUGGGACUGAGACACGGCCCAGACUCCUACGGGAGGCAGCAGUAGGGAAUCUUCGGCAAUGGACGAAAGUCUGACCGAGCAACGCCGCGUGAGUGAAGAAGGUUUUCGGAUCGUAAAGCUCUGUUAUAAGCGAAGAACGGGAGUAAGAGUGGAAAGUUUACUCUGUGACGGUAGCUUAUCAGAAAGGGACGGCUAACUACGUGCCAGCAGCCGCGGUAAUACGUAGGUCCCGAGCGUUGUCCGGAUUUAUUGGGCGUAAAGCGAGCGCAGGUGGUUUAAUAAGUCUGAAGUUAAAGGCAUUGGCUCAACCAAUGUACGCUUUGGAAACUGUUGAACUUGAGUGCAGAAGGGGAGAGUGGAAUUCCAUGUGUAGCGGUGAAAUGCGUAGAUAUAUGGAGGAACACCGGUGGCGAAAGCG
rnacentral:rRNA from 1 species